AGUGAACGCUGGCGGCAGGCCUAACACAUGCAAGUCGAACGAAGUCUUCGGACUUAGUGGCGGACGGGUGAGUAACACGUGGGAACGUGCCCUUUGGUACGGAAUAACUCAGGGAAACUUGAGCUAAUACCGUAUGUGCCCUUCGGGGGAAAGAUUUAUCGCCAUUGGAGCGGCCCGCGUCUGAUUAGCUAGUUGGUGAGGUAAAGGCUCACCAAGGCGACGAUCAGUAGCUGGUCUGAGAGGAUGAUCAGCCACAUUGGGACUGAGACACGGCCCAAACUCCUACGGGAGGCAGCAGUGGGGAAUCUUGCGCAAUGGGCGAAAGCCUGACGCAGCCAUGCCGCGUGAAUGAUGAAGGUCUUAGGAUUGUAAAAUUCUUUCACCGGGGACGAUAAUGACGGUACCCGGAGAAGAAGCCCCGGCUAACUUCGUGCAGCAGCCGCCGUAA
rnacentral:rRNA from 1 species